rnacentral:rRNA from 1 species
UACGUAGGGGGCAAGCGUUGUCCGGAUUUAUUGGGCGUAAAGAGCGUGUAGGCGGCUUUGCAAGUCCGUUGUGAAAACUCGAGGCUCAACCUCGAGACGCCGGUGGAAACCAUCUAGCUAGAGUCCGGAAGAGGAGAGUGGAAUUCCUGGUGUAGCGGUGAAAUGCGCAGAUAUCAGGAAGAACACCCGUGGCGAAGGCGGCUCUCUGGGACGUGACUGACGCUGAGACGCGAAAGCGUGGGGAGCGAACAGG